rnacentral:rRNA from 1 species
CUACGGGGUGCAGCAGUGGGGAAUCUUAGACAAUGGGCGCAAGCCUGAUCUAGCCAUGCCGCGUGAGUGACGAAGGCCUUAGGGUCGUAAAGCUCUUUCGCUGGGGAAGAUAAUGACGGUACCCAGUAAAGAAACCCCGGCUAACUCCGUGCCAGCAGCCGCGGUAAUACGGAGGGGGUUAGCGUUGUUCGGAAUUACUGGGCGUAAAGCGCGCGUAGGCGGAUCAGAAAGUUGGGGGUGAAAUCCCGGGGCUCAACCCCGGAACUGCCUUCAAAACUCCUGGUCUUGAGUUCGAGAGAGGUGAGUGGAAUUCCGAGUGUAGAGGUGAAAUUCGUAGAUAUUCGGAGGAACACCAGUGGCGAAGGCGGCUCACUGGCUCGAUACUGACGCUGAGGUGCGAAAGCGUGGGGAGCAAACAGGAUUAGAUACCCGAGUAGUC